rnacentral:rRNA from 1 species
UAGUCUCCUGAAGGAACGUUGAAGACGACGACGUUGAUAGGCCGGGUGUGUAAGCGCAGCGAUGCGUUGAGCUAACCGGUACUAAUGAACCGUGAGGCUUAACCUU